AUUUAACAGGAGGGGGCAAUUCAUUUUUACUUUACUUUAUUUAACGGAUUUUAUAAGGAGGCAGAUUGAUGAAGAUAAGGAUGUUGGUAGGAUACAACUGCAUUUAGAAACAUUGCACAAAUCCUGUCUCCUGGGCCUUGGCGUGAAUACUGUGUCAACGAUAUUAUGGGCCUUCCACGACAACAUCUCAGCAACAGCUGUGGUGUCUUUGUCCUGAUGUAUUCACUGUACUUUGUGACAUCAGGGGCCUUUGAUUUUACAGAGGAUACCCCCAGCUAAAAGUUUUUGGAAUUCCCGCUUCCAGGACAUUAACUGGGAGGAGGCUUUUAUGAUCUCCAGGAGAUACUGUCAUCAAUAAGAUUCGCGAGGUUUCAUUUAAAAUUGUUCAUUGUAUUUAUCCAGUAAA